rnacentral:lncRNA from 1 species
GGGGGGAAAAAGUGAAAUAUAUCGGUUAAACUUUUCAUUUCAACUUAUAUCGUUUUCAAAAGUCAACUCAUUAAUUGACAAGGAACAACAUAAGUUCGCGAUAUACACUUAAGUCUCAUAAUUUCAAGUUUAAGACACGCACGUUUCGGAGUAUAGUAACAGGAUUUAAGUUUUUUUUUUUUUUUUUGUGUAACAGGAUUUAAGUUAGUAAGGUGUAAUAAUAUACUUUUCCUUUUUAAAAAGUCAACUCAUAAAUAGACAAAAUAAACAAAACCAAAAUUCUUGAAAAUACUCAAAGAUAAAAACUAAAAAGCAAAGAGACAUACGCACGAGUGUUAUACUAAUAGAGUGUUAAUUUUUUACCUUACACGUGUGGCGGUGUGAAAGGUCGGUUUCGAGGCGAUACUCAUGCAUGACCCACUUAGUCUUGAGGCCACGUGGAGCCCUACCUUUGUAGAACACCAACGUCUUCUUCAUCCCAACAAGCGGUCCACCGCCGCCUGCGAAGACCUCCUUAUCUUUUCCGGUAGCUUUCCAGUAUCCAGCAGUGGUUGCUCUGUUAGUCCUCAAACCCGUCGGAUAUUUCCUAUCCCUUAGGCUGUAAAAGUACCACUCCUUCUCUCCCAUCUUCGCCAUUUCUUCAUAUAUAUUUAUAUAACAAAGUUUCAAAACAUUAUUAAACUUUUAACAAGAUUCCAAAAAGAUUUAAAAAAAAAAACUCUUAAAGAGGAAAAAGAAGAGACAAAGUGUAUGUACCAGGUAGUUCCCAAGGUUCGCAGCGGUUGAGAUCAACUUCAGAAAUGUGAAUGCCGCAGAGACCUCCAUGGAAGAUUUUGGAAGCUAAGUAGAAGGUGAUGAGCUCUUCGUCCGUUGGGUGAAACCGGAAGCCAGGUGGCAAUCCUCUCUCGUUCUUUUCUUCUCCGGCUAGUUCGCUCAACACAUCUUCCACCGCAAGCAUCAUCUUUUUGGUUAUUAUAACCCAAAAAACAAAACACAAAACAGAGAGAGAGAGAGACUUUUUUUUGUUACACUGAAGAGACACCAAAAGGAAGAACAAAGAGAGCAAUGAUACAAAAGGUGAUGGGAAGUAUAACCUUAUUGCGUGCAAGAUUAUAUAUUUAUAUACAAAAAUGGCACAUAAGUCGAAGAUAAGAGAGAGAGAGUGAAAGUAGAGGUGUGUGUGUGUGUGUAGAUGGGUGGAUUUUGAGUGUUUGAGGUUAGAGGAGCAUUGAUGAUAAAGGCUGUGAAAUUCAGGGAGCAGAGGCUGCUAUUUGCCCUCACCUGGGGAGCUUCCAGGAGUCUCUUUCUAUUCUUUAUUUUUUUUUCCUAUGCAAGUAUAGUAGUAAUUAUGUAACAAUCUAUAAACUGUAAAAACACUUUUGCCGUUUUGUGUUUUAUCACUAUACUACUUUAGCAAAAUUCUUAUGGUCUUGUGGUUUUGAUUGAGACUUGGUGAUGUUAAGUUAUGAUCUUUCGUUAAUGACUACUCGAUUGGUCAAUGGAUCAUUAUACAGUAGUACUGUUUUCCUACUUUAUCUAAAUUUAAAUGCAAUAUAUUUACUAAUUAUAUUAAAUGGUGUUGACGUUUUGGCUUUUACUUUUGUUUUGAAGUAAAAAAGAAGUCUGAUUUAUUUAUUUUAACCAAAAAGAAAAGAAAAACAGACAUUUUUCUUGGUAGUUUAAUUUGAGAAGAAGAAUUAAGCGCCAAACUGUUUUGUGUGGAGAUAUUAACACCCAUGAAAUACUGAGUUUUGCAUAAACACUCAUACACCAAAUACUGUUGUGGAGGAAAUAUCAAAAUUACAUUUGGAUCCCACCUUUUUCAACUGGUACCAUUAUGACUUUUGGCAUAUGCAGUUUUAAAAGAGUAAACCCAUUACACAAGUUGAUAUCUCUACCAAAAAAAUUGCUCACGCAGUUAAUAAAAAGGUUUUUACAGAUUUCAAGAAAUGACGAAUAAGUAAAUAUAUAAUGUACUUGAACAAUUUUAUUACGCUUGUGUGGUUAUCAGCAAAUAAAUUUUACAAUGAAGAAAAGAAAGAGAUAAAAGAGUGUGCAGUAAAAAGAUGGCAGAGGUUUUAUGCGUGCGGGUGUAAGCAUAUCAUUAUACAUUCAUGGAGUCAGUCCAUUUUUAUUUUAUUUUAAUGUAUUAUUUUAUACACAUUCUCCCUGAGAGAGAGAUCCCAAUUCCCUUUGGUUUCCUUUUUAUUUACCUUAACCACUUCCUUUUAUACUUAUUUCUCAACGGUUAUAUAAACUCUGUAUCGAUGACAAAAAAAAAAUAUAUAUAUAUAUAUAUAAACUCUGUAUUACAAUUUUUUUAAUUGUUUUGUUUGAUAUUAUAAUCUUCCUCAUCAUAUAUAAUGAAUUUUACAUUAAACCAUGAAAUACCUCAAGUACAUGGAUGAUUUGUUUACAUUAACCAUGAAAAAAACGAUGCUAGUGCGUUUUGCUGAUGCAUGUUAGUAAAAACCAAACAUCUGAAAUGGACAAUGUUUUAAACUUCAAAAGUAUAAUUUCUGUUGGGAAAACAUAACCACCAAAAGCAAGCGUUCGAACUACAUAUUGAAUACAACUUUAUAAUAAAGGAAAUUAGUUUAGAGAUGUUUUAUGUUUCGGGUUAUGCCGGAUGGUUUGGUCAAAUUCGAGGGCGUAUCACACUGCAACUAAACAAAGACUUUUGAUGUUAAAUGAUUUUCUUACUGAACUAUAAAAGUCAUUUUUUUAAUAAUAAAAAAUAGGUUUGAAUCAUAUUGUCUGUCGAUAUUAAAUGUUUGACAUAAUUUUAAGAAGAAAAAUAAAUGAAACAGUAGAGAGAUAUCAGAUAGUCGGCGGUGGCACGUGCGUAGAAUGAUACAAAAGGAAAAAUAAAAAGAUAGAAAUCAGGUAAAAGGAAAGUAAUAAUAAUAAAUGCAAACGUACUACAGUAUCUAUCUCACACACACUGAUAAAGGAGUAUUAAACUGCCCACACGAUCUUAUGUUAAAUCUCCCAAGUCAUUCUUUUACCCUAAACCCCCCCUACUGCUUACUACUACUACCCAACCCCUAUCAUUUAAAUACAUUACAUUCAUAGAUUUAUCAGAAGUAAAAAAACAAAAUCUACACAUUGAGUAAAAUGUGUUUCAUCCAAUAAUUCAAAAAACCUGCUGUACUUGUACAUAGGCUUACCUAAGCCUAUCCAUUUUUUUAAUUAUGCUUUUUUAUAGUAUUUCAUAGAGCAAAUUAUUUUCAUAAAUUAUUAUUAUUUCCCCCUCAGGGGGUCUAUCUCUUUUCUCUAUAGCACUGAUGAAUAUUUCUGUGACUCUCUCUCUCUCGAAAUUGUUAUUUUUAUCUAUUUUCAGGUUCAUUAUUGAUUUCCCCAAGCGAUACCGUCGGUCUACCGUAGUAUUAUAGUGCUGUUUCCUCUGCCUCACAAACACACAAUAUUAUUAUUGGCCCUGUCAAAAGCUAACAAGUUUGGUUUUUUCCCAAUCUAUUGUGUAAUUUAAUCUGUCUGCAUGCGGAUAAUAAUAUCAUUAAACUUGGGCAGAAUGUUCAAUCAGGAAAGGGCUGAUUCUGGUUAUAGUCUCGUACGUCAUUUCAGUAACACUAUUUCACUUAUUUAUAUCAUAAACUGUAAACCUAAUCAAAGUUAUAUAUAUAAGCAGAAAUGGUUGUAGUACUAGUGCAUUCUGUGUAACAACAGGCCUAGUAGUGUAUAAAAUAUACAGAUAUUACUGGGGAUAGUGUUGAUAUACAGUAUAUUAUGUAAUGUGACACUAAAACUUUGAGAUAUAUAUAUAUAUAUAUAUAUAUAAGGUGAAACAAAUAUCACUAAAAUGAAUAUAUAGACGACUGUUUUGUCACAAUUUUCUUUUAUAGUAUAUGUCAAUCAAAUUGACAAUGAGGGUCCCUUUCUCGUCUUUGUCUCUUUCUCUUUAAUAUGUCUGAUCUUAUAUCGUCAAAGAUCAUUAUUUUUUGAAUAAGCUUAUAAACAAGAGACUAACAAUAUUUUUGAACGGUACUGAUUGAAUAUAUAUAACACCAAAUCGUUUUGGACACGUUUUGGACAAUAUACACAAAUCUAAUUAAGUCACUCUCCAUCACAAACUUUUAAGAAAACUUACAAGAAAAAGAAAAAGGAAUAAUGAGUAGGAAAGAAGAAGAAGAAGAAGAUGAAGGUAGUAGAGAAGGAGAAGGUGGAGAAACAAUAAAUGAAGGAUGAGGAAGAGGAAAGGACAAUGGCAGCACCGACCUGCUCCACCAGAGAACGACCUCUCCUCUCUCUCUCUCUCUCACACACACUCUUUUCUCUUCACAAGCAAUCUUUUCUUCCUCCCAUUUUGCUUCUUUUAAUUCUACCAUAUUUUAUUUUCAUUUUCCUUUUCAUUUUAUCUCUUAUUUAGAACCCAAUAAAUUUUAGUGAAAACACUUCGAGAUACCGCAAAAAGGAAUCAAUAAAUUUUUGUCCCAUACCAUUAUAUGAUUGAUAUGUAAAACUUACAAAUAUUUCAUCAUUCAUAUAUAUCUUGGCUUGGGGUAGCAAUGAUAACCUAUAGGUAUAUACAAAUAAUAUUAUCAGGCUAGCAAUCUGAUUCGUAGAGUAUGGAUCGUAAUCUCUCAAAUUACAUAGUGAUGGAUAUACAGUAUUAUGAUAUAGUUUUGGUUAAUCUGUAAAUUUUGGUCCGGUUUAGUGUUAAUUUGAUGGAGUUAUGUUACAUAUUUUUUUUUUAAAUUCCGUACAGUGGAGGAUGGCAAUAAAUGUGAAAGGUUUUGAGGAUAUGGGGACAGACGAAGCCUUCAUAAAUAUGGGCGAAAAGUUGCAAAAUACAUUGGGACCAAUUACACCGUGCACAUACAAUUGAAUCUCUUCAUAAAGCUCUUUUAAUAGUAUGCUUGUAUUGCGUCUCUAGCUAAUUAGUAACUUAUAUGAUCAUGUCAUAAACAAUCAAAGUUUAAAUAUCUCUAAUAAUUGACCACUCUUGCGUUUCUCAGAUUUUCCCAAGACUUCUUUUCACGAUACUUUGUAGUUUGUUUUCUUAAGUAUCUUAUUGACCCUGUUGAACUUAAGAUUAUUUUAUGUGACAAUUUUUUUUUUUUUUUUGCCAAUAAAUAAGAAAUGUGACAAUUUUCUAAUGUUAGUAACUACUCUUAUCGUCGCUACGACUUGUAGACUAACGAAGAACGUAGGUGAAUCCAUCUCCUAAGACCGUAACAAGUCUACUUAGUUAAAAAAAUGGAUAAUCUAAAAACAAAAUAACAAAAGAGAACUAAAAGAAAAUAUUUUGUAUGAAUAUUAUUGUUGCACAUUGUACCAGUCAGACAGACCCAUGAUUUGUGUAUCUAUCAAUUAUUGAUAAUCACACUUGGUUUAUGAGAUCAUACUAUAAUAGUAUGAAGUUAGAAAUUAGGUUAAAAUUACCAAUAAAAGUUGUAUUAAGGAUGAUAUGGUAGGAUAAUCCAUAAAUGUAAAUCGAAUGUGAAUACUAUGAUGUAGAAGAGAGACACAGAUUGCGCACGUGACGUAGACGGCGUAGGUUAGGAGGAGGAGAGAAACAGAUGGAGCCUUCUUUCCACAUUUGUCGUAUUUUUUUGUUUUGUUUUGAUGAUAUUUUUAUAUUUAAAAAUUACAUUCCCUUUUUUCCUUACUAAAGAGUAGUAAAUAUAUUCCUGGUUUAUGGAAAGAUUGUUUCUAUUUUUUUCUGUUUCUGUUUUGCGUUUUACUAUAUGGGCCUAAAUGGGCUUGAAAAAAUUGGUCUUUUUCCCAAAUCAAUGAAAGUGUAUAUAUACUCUGAAACAGAGGUUUUCUAUCGAGGAACUCAAAGUGGCCUAAGAGGAACAUAACUAAGCUUAAAGAUUGAGUUUUCUUCAUUCAAGAUUCAGACACACGCUUUGUAGUUUGUACUCUUAAAAGCAGGAUCAACAUAGUUUUAAUAAUCCUCUGGAACUUAAGAAAACAAAACUCCCAGAGCCAUAUUUUGACUAUUAUGCACCCCUUUGAUAUGCACGGAAUUGAAAAAGGAAUACAAGAUUUCAUGUAACACAAGAGAGGAAACAAAACAAAAGGAAGCUUGAGUAUCAAAACAUCAAAAAUCAAGGAAAAUCAAGAGAGUUAAAAAGGAAUUAAAGAUUCACAAGACGGUUUUAAUUGUAUUAUGAUCUCAAAAUCAGUACUGUCUUGGAAAUAAUACAUUCGCAGAAGACGUACCGAUCUCGUCUUCGUUCUCUUCUAACGAUCUUCCCAUAGUUUCACGAGUGAAGAAGUACGUCACGACCAUUCCCGCGAUACAAACUCCCCCAAGGAUCAAAAACGCGAUUCUGACGCGUUUCACGUCUGGGAAAAAGUCAUUCUCGGGGUGUUUCGUGGCCCACAAGAAACCUACAGUGCCAACAAUUGCCCCAAACUUCCCUGCAGCUCCAGAUAUCCCGUGGCACGUGGACCUAAACCUCGCCGGAAAAAGCUCCGCAGGGAUAAUAAACGUUGUUGUGUUAGGACCAAAGUUGCUAAAGAAGAAGAUCAAUCCGUAGAGGACCAUAAAGCCUUUGUUAGUCUUCUCGUGUUUAGACCAAUACCAACUGUACGGGAUCCCAGCGACUAAGUAAACAACGGCCAUGAGGAAGAACCCCAUCAUCUGGAUCUUGACUCGACCGAUUCUAUCGAUGAAAUAGACGGUGAACCAGUAACCGGGGAUGGUGGAGCAAGCGGCUACAACGGCUGCGACCUUAGCUACUUCGAAGGCGGAAUCGUAGACGCUUGUGGAGCUGAGAGAUUUGUCGGAGAAAUUGAAGAUCUGAGAGAGGAGGAGAUUGCUUGUGUAGAAGACGACGUCAACUAGGAACCAAUUGGCUGAGGCUGCGAAGAGGUCACGUCCGUGUAGGCUGAAGAAACGGCGUGAGAAGAGUUUGUAGGAAGACCGUGGCGAUUGUGGUAGCUCCGAUGAUGUAUCUUCUACUUCGUCGAUUUGGUCUGUUGUCAUGGAUACCGACAUGACUUGUUGCAUGUCUUUUGCUGCUUGGACUACAUUGUUCUCCACCAAUGCUGUGUAUCUGCAUGCAUUUUAAAUAACUUUAGUGUUUAUAUCAUACAGGUUUUAUUAUUAGUAAAUGAAUACUGACAAAAAGGAAAAUCAAAAGUUAAGAUAUGAUAAGAGUUAAGACGAAUGAAUAUAAGUUUAUAUAUCCCUUAUUAUUUAUAUAUUGCCUUAUGUCACGAUUUUAUGUAAGUUUUCAAAUAAAUUAGAUAAUAAAAACAAUUGGACAAUGUUAUGUUAAUGUAAUUUAGUCACUUUUGCUGGAUUUGCAAAAGUUAAUUGGACUCUAGUCAGUUAAACCAAAUUAGGUUUGAUAUUAGUGAGAUAUACUAGCUAGCUACAAUGCACGGAAGGGAAAAGACCAAUCUCUUAAGACUUUUUCUUAUGAAAUACGUAAGAGAAUCAAAGUGGGAGAACUUGGAGAGAGGACAAAAGUACGUGGUUAGUUGGAGAGAUUAUAUUUAGUUAUAAUGAAAUAAAAAUCUCUAUUAAUUAGCUGGAGUUUCUACCUGGGAGGAAUAUAAUGUAGAAAAUACAUACUUAAAACUAUAUAUUAUACAUAUUAAAAUGAAAAUUCGAUAUGCAUACGUUAUAGAGAGGUAGCUUAAAAAGGUAUAUACCCCUUUUGUCCGGUAUAUUUCCUUCCGAAGUCAACUAAUUACUUCCUAGGAACAAACCACGAACUAGCCACUCUUUACGUUAUUAGUUACGUACAUAUGUUUAUCAUCGACAACAUCAGACAUCAAAUUUAGGUUAAAUUUCAGGUUUUCUAACAUUAUUUCAUAUACGUACGGGACAUGGGUAGACUUUUGUUUUUGCACACGACUAAACUUUUUAGUAGUUUAGUUCACAACUCUACAUUGUAUUUUCAUUGAACAUUAGAAACUCUAUAUAACCAAGUUCACGCAAGAUAUUCAUCUACAUAAAAUAUCACUACUCUUAUCGAAAUACGGUUUUAAUAUAUAUGCUUUACGGCGUAACUAGAAAACACAUACUAUAUUUAUUUGUUUGUCUACAUCAAGCAAAUAGAUGAAAAUGAUAUAUUAAACUGUGGAAUGUUAUCCGACAAAAACAUCAAGCUUGUAUUUGAAGCAACCCCAUAGUGAUCAAAAUGGUUACCGUUUAAAAUCUUGUUUAUUUUUUUUUUUUUUGGGCAAAGACACUUAAUGUAUUUAAUCUUGGAAAACAAUACUAAAAGUAAAAUUUAGGAGAAACAAUACUAAAAGUAAAAUUUAGGAGAAAGAUUUUUUAUAUAAUCUAAAAGACAAACUAUCCAAAUUUUGAAUGUGUGAUGAUAGGAAGCAAAGUCACUCACGAUAGUGCAUAUAUUAUAGUCUACUUUAUAAUUAAAAUAAAAUAAAUUACUAUAAUCUAUGUUAUGGAAUAUUAAAACAAAAACAAAAUGGACAUAUAUACAUAUAUAUAUAUAUUUAUUUUGUCAUAAAUUUCUCUAUUAUACGGCGGAAAACAAUUUGUUAAAAAUUUAAAUGUAGAAGUGUUAAAAUAAUAAUAAUUAAAUUUAGGGGAAAAAAAGAGAGAAGAAAUAGUUGAACGGAACCUGGCGGUUUCAGGCAUGAGCAUUCGCCAGUAAAACGUUAACGCGGCAGGAAUAGCUCCGAUCAUAAGAAUCAACCUCCACGCUAUAUCCGAUUCCGGCGGAGCCACAGUCUCUGCCCCCGCCGCGUUAGUAUUUUCCAAACUCCCCCCUCCGGCGUUCUUGAACACCACACACACAACCAUGGUGACGGCAGAGCUCAUCAAGAUCCCUAACCCUUGCAUCGAGAACACAGCGGCAAUGAAGGCUCCACGCGUUUUUUUAUUAGCGAACUCGGACAUAAUCGUGGCGGAGAGAGGAUAGUCUCCACCGAUCCCGAGUCCAAGAACGAAUCUAAAGAAUCCAAGACUGACCAUAACGCAAGAACGUCGAGUCGUGCAAACAGAGAAGCCACAACCAAAGGAGCUAAAGACCAUGAUUAAGAGACAAAGACCGUAGACUUUACGACGUCCGACUCGGUCACCUAAGUAACCGAAGAUGAUUUGACCUAAUGCUGUGCCGAGAAGAGCAAUAGCGUAAGAAGUUGAGAGAAGAGCUGUUCCGAUUGAGUCUUUGUGGUAAUAGAUUUGACUUAUCAUUUUCAUGAUCGGAGCUAUACAGAAGAGAUCGUAAGCGUCCGUGAAAAGUCCCAUCCCGGCCACUAUGAUUGCCUUGAAAUGGUACCAUUGUAUCUUAGCCGCAUCUAACGCCGAUAACACUUUUAGCUCCGACAUCGUAUCGUCGAUCUUUAGAAUUUUCUUAAGAUACAGAGAAUGAGAACAAUACAAGUCUCUGUCUCAUACAUUUUAAUGGGUUUUUUUCUCUUGAGAUUAUUUCUUAUUUGAGCAACAUGGAAUAUGCUUUUGUUUGACUUCGAGGAACACAACACCUUCUCUGAUCGAGUCUACUUCUGUGGCUGACUUUCACAAGGUUAUUUUUAAUUUUAGCUUAUGAGUUUUUUUUUAAGUACUUUUAGUUAUAAGAUGUGGUAGUCCAAAGUUUGGUUAAUAACAGUAUCUUUACUGUAUGAUGAUGUUUUCACGGAAUCCAUCUAAUUUCUAAUUGUUUUCUGGCAUCCUGCACAUAAGAGGCAUAGAUUUUGAUAAGCUUGUUAAGAUUUCAUAAUUUCUUUUAUGAUUUUCUUUUCUUAUAAUUUCGCUUUCAUUUCUGCUCAAAACAGUACCACUUCACAUCCAACAACUUUUUUCAGAGUCUAAGAACAUCUCAAGGAAUCGGAUCAUUGAACAUGAUUUUUACACACAAAAAAAACUAGAAAACUCUCGAGUCUCUAACAUCUGAAUCAGAACCAAAUACCUAUAUAUCGGCCAAUGCUACUAAAUGCUGAUUAGGUGAGGAAGACAUCCUAGUUAUAUGAUAACUGGAACUAUGAAGUUGGGACGCGUACUCCGAGCUUGACGACAACGACUUCAAAGAUCCCAUCAGGUCUAAACGUUGGAGUAAACAAACGAGGAUCUACUUGCCCCGGAAGAUUAAACGUGAUUGAGAAUGGACCAGGAGGGCAGAGCUGUUGCACCUGCAUUCUGUACAAGCUUCCGGUCUCACUUGGAAUCGCAAUCUCAGGCACUACUCCUUGGAUACAUACUCUUCCCUCCCUCUGAAUCUCACAUUUGAUCUUAUCUAUUAAACGAUCAGAAGAUAGCACUUGGGUCAAGGUUCUUUCAUAGACAGAUAGUCAAAAAAAAAAAAAAUGCAACUUUCUUUUCAUGUAAUUGGUCAUUAUCAAACCCAAAAAGAUGAAGAAUCCAUUCCAGUUUUAACAGGUAGCCGAGAAUUAGAAGGAAAUUUCGUAAUGAGACUGCUAUUUCCACUAUCCAACAAGAUUAUUACUAAUGAAAGGUCAUCACAGGAGAAAAGAAAUGUGAAGGCUUACUAACUUUGAUUUUUCUCAAUGCCAGGGAGAGCGACUCUGAAGAUGUAGGCAACUUCGCUAACACCAAUAUCGACAAGACCGAUGGGUGGCCCUGCAGAGCCUUGCUUAGCGGUACCAGUGCAAAAUACAUGAGAGAUCACUUUCGAGUGAGUAGUAGUCUGAUUAUUCUCAGUGUUCAUGGUGUUGCUUCGUGUUUCUCUGUUUUUCCUCAAGCUAUAGAAUCCAAACCAACCUGUUGAUAAUAUCAUAAUCAAGGAACAGAAGAAGAAGAAGAUAACAAUCAAAUCGAAGCACAAAUCAAGCAAAGAGACCAAUCAGUAGCAAAGGUUAAGGCUGGUCUAAUCCUCUGAAAUAAAGUUUACUCCUUUCGAUCCAACUUUCCCACCACUCCUUGCUCAAAGUAAGGAUUCCAAGACCAUCGAAAAUGGGAAGAAACAAACUAAGCUGGAUUGAAGAAACCAAGUUCUGUAACAUAUAUAUAUUUUUUUGAGCUAGGUUUCUCCAAUCACUGAAGAAACCAAAUGCGGAAGAUGCGUAUAUUAGUAAAUCAGUCGAAUUCAUAAUCAAUCUAGAACAAGUAGAGUUGAAGAACACAGAAUCGAAGCUGGAGACAGCGAACACCCAAAGAGAAAAAAAACCCUAAUCUCGAUUCUCUACAGAUAGCUACAAAAACCCCAGGAAAGUUCUCAUUCAAGUAGAUAACUAAACAACGAGGAAACGGAGAAGAGUGUGGAUUUAGGGUACCGUACCGUAGCGAACUCCGGCAAGUCUCUGAUGGUGUUGACUGCGAAGCUUCUCUGGAACAGCGCGACCGUCGUUAUAUUUACCGGAGAUUUUGGUGAGUGGGAUGUGGAAAAAUCCAAAUACUAAUAACUUAGCUGGUCAAAUUAACCACUCUGAAUAGGCCACGUGUCAUAAACUUUGCUGACUAAGCAACCUUGUCACCAAAAACAUCCCACAUUUUUAUCUAUUAGAGUAUUAUUUUCUCUACAUCCUUCAUUGGAUUCGUCAUAUUUCGAAAUAUACACAACAGUUUUAGUUAUUAUUUAAUCAAACUACAAGAUCUAUGGCUUAUUAGGAAAAAAUAGACACUUUUAAACUGUGUGAUGUUUGAGUAGGUUUUAUAAUUUGGGUAUGAAAAGUUAUGAAAGUAUCUCCUUUGCAGUAUAGUCGAUCAUCAAAUUAAUACACACAAUGUUUUUUUAAAAAUUGUAUAUUUAAGAUUAUUAAACCUUCAAUUAAACUUGAAAUAGAAACACUAAAUUGUAUAGUAGUCAACCGAAAAGACCAAAAGAAACUUGGUUUAGCUAAUUAACUUUUUUUCUUUUCUUCCUGAAAGUAACGUUUCUUCGGUUUUUAAUUAGUUAAUAAAUUAGAAAUUGUAACAAAAGACAUAGAAUUGUAUAGUAGUUUCAUUAAUUUGUACUAUUUUCAUCGACGUGUCACUGAAUGAUUCAUAGUGCUUGUUGACAAGAAAAGAGAUCAGCUAGAAACUGUAAUAUUUAACAAGGAGCUUAAUUUGCGGAUGAGGAUUAUAAAUGAACAACACGUUAACUUUGUCGUCGUGAUCAUUAAACAACUCUGCGUGAUCCAGCUGGUCUAGUAGACACGUGCUUCAAACGACAACGAGGUUAUCGUGCAUAACGCCUACAUGCUAGUAUAUAUCUCAAUAUUUAACUUAUAUCGUACGACGCCAUUACCUGAAUCAACCAAUUUAUAUAUAGGGAUUGAACUCUUCGUUGACCAUUUUUAGAACGAUCUGAAUCGAACUAACCAUAUCAAUAAGGCAAAAAAUGGAGAUGAAAGAAGAAGAGAACAAAGGAAUAGAAGGCAAAGUUGUAGCCGUGACGGGUGGGUUGGGUUUAGUUGGCUCCACUGUGUGCCUUGAGCUGCUCCGCCGUGGCGCUCUCCAAGUCCGCUCCUUCGACUGCCGCACUACUUCUCCUUGGUCCGACAAUCUCAAAGAAUCCGGCGUCCACUGCAUACAUGGUAUUCAAGUUGAUUUCACUUUCUACUCAAAUCAACGAGCUCAAGAUUGACCAUAUAUAAGUACAUUUGAGUCGAUAUCUUUUAGAAUCAUAUGCUUACAAUUUUUGUAUUCGUGUUUUAUACACUAGAUAUAUCUCUAUUUUCGAUAUAAAAUGUUCUAACAAACAUACUUUGUUCAUAUUAUAUAUGUAUAUGUAUCAGGAGAUGUUGUGAGUAGAGAGGACGUCGAAGAGGCUCUUCAAGGAGUGGACCUUGUGAUUCAUCUUGCUUCGUACGGUGGUUCGGGUAAGGAAAUGAUUAGGACUCAUCGGAUCGAAGAAGUCAACGUGGAAGGGACGCGUAACGUAUUGGAAACAUGUGUCAAGAAAGGGAUCACGAGGUUAGUGUAUUUGAGCACCAACGGUGUCGUUUCUGGUGGGAAAGAACUUGAAAAUGGAGAUGAAACUCUACCUUAUGUACCUUACAACAACUACGUCAGUUCUUAUGAUCGGACUAAAUCUAUCGCCGAACAGUUGGUUCUAGAGAACAACGGUCGAGUUGUUGAGUAAGUGCAAAAUCAAUAUCUUUUUUUUUUUGUCAACAAGUGCAAAAUCAAUAUCAUUUUGUUGUUUACGAAGUUUUUUUUUUGAAUUAGGAUUUUGUAUUUGUGAACUGUGGAAUCUUGGAAAACAGAACAAGUUAUGUGAAACUAAAUGAGACAAUUAAAUUGAUUAUGGAACCUCAAAAUACUUGGAAAAAAUUGGAGUAAUUAGAUUCGUGGUAUUCUUAUUACGUAUGAUAAUUUAUAUAUGUGGGAAUAUGGAAUAGUAAUGCUAAUGUUGUUCAUGGGAAUAUAGAAAUGGACGUGGAAGUCUUUUAUCUACUUGUGCGAUUCGUUGCCCGAUCGUUUAUGGACCGGCUGAAGAGAAGUAUCUUGAUAGGAUAAUAUCUGAUGCAAGAUUGGGUUUAUUCCUCUUCAAAAUCGGUGAUGCAAGCUCAAAAACCGACUUUAUUUAUGUGGAUAACAUUGUAUACGCUCUCAUGUUGGCAACCGCCGAUUUACUCAAUCAACAUUCGAAAGCCGCAGGGAAGGCCUACAUUGUUUCCGAUGGUUAGAAUUUUAUACUCUAAAACUUUGUUACCUAUAUACUUUGCUUUUAUUAGUUUAUCUUAAGCCUGAUUUUGUGGGUUGUUAUGCAGGUAAUCCGAUAAACUUUUUCGAAUUUCUUCGGCCACUUUUAAUGAAUCUUGAUUAUGAACUACCAAAGUCAUCCCUAUCUAUCCCGGUUGCGGUUUUACUUGGAAAAAUAUGUGAAGCAAUAUACACAAUGCUAUCACCACUACUAAACCAAGGGUGGAUUCCACAACCAUUGAUUCUUCCUCCCGAAGUUUACAAGGUUUGCUAGAGCGAAUAUUUUUCUUAUUACAAUAGAGAAAUAUAAAAAUUAUGACAUUUUUUUUGAAUGGAAUAGGUGGGGGUGACUCAUUACUACUCGAUCCGCAAAGCCAAGGAGGAACUCGGGUACGAGCCCACGACACAACCUGAAGAAGCCAUGACCAAAACCAAUUCCUAUUUUAAAGACAAGAAAAGGAGAGAAGUCGAUGGUCCAAGCAUCUACGCAUGGAUUUUCUGUGUGAUUGGGUUGCCUAGCAUUAUAUCAGUCGCGUGGCUACCGGACAUUGGACCCAUACCAUUCUUUCGAGUCAUUGCGCUGUUUAUCUUUAGGUCGAUGUUAGUGUUACGCAUAGCAUCGGGGAUUGUGGUGACAACGCACGUGAGUGAAGCAGUGUACGCGUUAUGGCUGGCUCGGAGAGUGGAUCCCAAGAAUGCAAAGGCUUGGUUUUGGCGGACGUUACUUCUCGCUACUUUCUCGCUUCGAUUACUUUUGAAAAGAGCCAAGGAAGCAAAGCAAUCUACACUAAGAGAAGGUCUUCUAACCAUUUCGGGGUCCUCAGUUGCUUGAAGCUUCAUCACGUCAAUCUAAACCAAGGUUCAAAUAUUAAAACUAGUACAUAUAUAUCACAUUGUUAAUCAUUUUCUACGUUUUAAAUGGGAAAAAUACUUAGCCGUGGAUUCUCAGUUUAUCAAAACACAAAAAAUGUGUAAAUGUUGUUGGUAGUAAAAUAAUAGUUAGAAUCAUCGUGUCAUUGUUUAGGGUCACCUUGGAUGUAUGCAUUAUGCCAGAAAAACAAAGUGACGGUAAGAAACUAAGAAUAUAUGUUUUCACAAAUGUUUUAUCUAUAUAUAUAUAUAUAUAUAUAUAUAAUUACAUUGAUAUACAAAUGAAAAUUACUUCACAUAAUCACAUUUAUUAAAAACAUUUGACUACAUAACAGCUUUUUCUGGUUUAUAUAUACGAUGUUUUGUUUAAAAAAAUAUAUAUUUUAAAUACUAUAUAGGGAAAUUUUAAAUAAUAAAGUUUUAAUUCUCAUUCACAUAACAAAAUACUUUAUUUUUAGAAUAAUAAAAAAUAAUAAUAAUUGAAACACCAAAGGGAGAUAGUUUUGUGAAAGACAGAAGCGGACAUAUCUUGAAACACAUGGCAGCGAUUUCUCCAUGGUUUUCUUCUCCGCUGAGCUUUUCGAAUCCCCGCGUUUCAUCUCGCUACAUUAAGACCAUUACAGGUCCUCAAUCUCUCCCUGUAAUUUCACUUUUUCAGCUUCGUUAUUGUACAAAAUUUCACAUUCUUGGAGCUAAUUUCUAUCCAGAUUCCAGAAGAUGUACAUCAGUUUCUGCGGCAAUCUCUGUUCUAGACGGCACCAACGAGGAACAACAACGGAUUUCGUAAUCUCCAUUAAUGCCUCUGUAAAAUUCACUUCUUUUCUUUAUCUGUGUUUGUUCUGUAUCUGUUAAAGUCUCGCUCUUUUUUUUGUUUGUUAACAGGUCUAGAGAUCAUGUUGGGAUGAAAAGAAGAGAAGUCAUGUUACAGAUAGCUUCCUCUGCUUUCUUCCUUCCUUUGGCCAUUUCACCAGCAUUUGCUGAGACAAGUAUUGCUGUUGAUUUAAUGUUCGUAUUUGAUGUGGUUUCCUUGAGAAUAUGGAUGCCUAAUCAGACCUUUCUUUAAUCUCAGAUGUAGCAGAAACUUUCCGUGUCUACACUGAUGAAGUGAACAAAUACGAGAUAUCGAUCCCACAAGGUAAUCUACCAAACUCUGUUUUACAAGACUUAUGAUAGUGAUGAAAUCAUUAUGACAUCUGAUUUGCAUUCACACCAAGAUUGGCAAGUCGGGCAAGCAGAACCUAAUGGAUUCAAGUCAAUCACAGCUUUUUACCCUCAAGAAACUUCAACUGCUGCCAAUGGUAAUCUUAUCAAGAUUAGUUUCUUUUCACUUUCCCUCGUUCAGAAAUCGUGAGCUAACACUGAUAGGUGAAUAUGGAUCGUUUUCAGUGAGCAUAGCGAUCACUGGACUUGGUCCGGACUUCACCAGGAUGGAAUCUUUUGGAAAGGUCGAAGCUUUCGCCGAAACACUGGUUAGUCUCUCUACCUGCAAUUCAAACAAACAAACUCUCUGCAAAGGGUUCCAUGAAACUGUAAAUAUGACAUUUAUUUAUAGGUCAGUGGAUUGGAUAGAAGCUGGCAAAAGCCAGCAGGAGUGACUGCAAAACUAAUCGAUAGCAGAGCUUCCAAGGGUAAAUACAAAAAUCUCAUCUCAUUGAGAAUCUCUGAAGUAUCUGGCUUUGUUUCGUUGACACAAUUUAUGAUCAGGAUUCUAUUACAUCGAGUACACCUUACAAAACCCUGGAGAAGCACGCAAGCAUUUGUAUUCUGCAAUUGGAAUGGCAACGAACGGUUGGUACAACCGUUUAUACACUGUCACAGGACAGGUAAGUCUAGUCCUAUUGCCACAAUGAACCUCUCUGAUUAGUUUCUUAUCUCUAACACAAUGACCAUCUUUCGGUGCUACAGUUUACAGAUGAUGAAUCUGCUGAACAAAGCUCCAAGAUCCAGAAGGUGAGACAAAAGUCGCUACUACAAUACUGAAAUAUUUCACUAAAACCUGUUGCUUAUGACCUUUUUCUCUGUUUUUGCAGACAGUCAAGUCUUUCAAAUUCAUAUGAGAGUGUCACUCAUAUCUCUAUCAGCGAACCAAAUUAUAGAAUUGAUCAAACAAUUUGUUUACUGAACAAUCACUUUUUUCAAUUAAAUUCUGAGAAAGGAGCUGACUCCAUACUUUGAAGUAAGCUUCGGAUAACAGUUCAGACAUGGAGAAGAGAGAACCCUACAUAUGCACAGUAACAGACAAGGACAUGAACAUGGUUUACUUACAAUGCAGAACUUGGGGACAAAGGCUAUAUACCUAUAAAUGUUACUCACUACACUCCUCCACCUGAAGUAAGUGUAGUGGUAUUACGACUUUUGGACUAGAAAAGAAUCAGAUUUUGAUUCUACCAUGUAUAUGCUUGUGUAUGUGUGUGUAUAUAUGCAUAUUGUACACCAACUUAUUACUAAUGGAUUUUCCCCUCCCGAGGGCAAAACCAUUAUAGUGCCUUCAAACUCAACCCGAGCUCAUGCCAGCAGCAUUUGUGUGGCUGUGUUUAUACACAUUGAUGGAUGGGUAAGAAAACGGAAGCACAAACCCUGAAACUCCAAUUUGUUUUUCUUGUUUCCUUCUGCGCCUUCCCAGUGAGCAAGACUAUUUUAUAUAACCUGUACAGCAAUAAGAUACCGAGGUUAAUGAAACUGCAUAUGAUGAUGGCCUUUUUCUGUUAAUGCAUGUAUAAACAUACCGAAUAAGAGACAUACCUUUAGGAUGCAAGAUAGAUAACGUGCAAGACUUAAUAAUAAAACAGGAAGCCUCUGCUGCCACCUCAAGUAGCAGUUUCGCUACCGCUUAACUUCGUUUUCUCCUCAGUCUUCAAGAAUAACUGAAACCAUUACUAACAUAUAAGCGGUGAAAAGAAACCAAAUGUGCAUAACUUCUCGCUACUACACCCAAAAAUAAAGAAAGCAUUAAAUUGAUUCUCACCUUGUUGUUUGGUCAGAACCGCUACUCUGCAUAAAUUGAGGGGAAUGGACAAUGAUAUGCGACUGUACAGGAGCAGGGCCUGGUACACCUGACAAACAUACAUUCGAAGGAGGACAUUACAAAAUGCAAAUAAACUUAGCUUUUCAAUUAUGCCUAAAACUCAGGAAUGAUCGAGACUCUACUUUUGAGAUUUGAUCAGUCAGAUAAUAAGAUUAUGGUGCGUAAGACAGUCGAAUGUACCUGAAGGGUAUGGAGCUUGAAGAGCAGACAUAGAUGAAGUGGUCAUGGCACUGACAGUGGGUCCACCAAGCUGUAGAACAUGGCUUCCUGGAACUGAAUACCCUUGAACUGCUGUGUAACCGUGGCCACUGGGAAUAGUCUGACUUAAUUGCCCGUACUGAUAAACUGGUGAAUUCACUGCCCCAGGUACUCCAUAGACCUGAAGGUACUGCUGACCCAUGUAUGGACCAUAUAAACCCUAAACCAUGAAACGAGUCAAGAUACAGCCAAAAUUACAAGACGUUUAGUAACAAUGAGAAAUAACAGCAAGUGUUCAUAGCCAUUGUCAACCUGUGAUUGUGAGUACAUGUACUCGGGUCCAUAUGCGGUUACCCUGAUAUAGAAAAUAUAACAACCUUAGAAAAACAUUAAUGAACCGUGGACACUUGUGCAAAGACAUCAGUGUACUGUGUGAUGUAAGAAUUGCAAGACUCACCCAUAAGGAUACACAAGUCCUUGCUGGUAGUUAAGUGGGGGUGGUUGCUGAUACGGAUAAUUUCCCAUAAGUGAACCACGAGGACCCUGCACAUUUCCAAUGUAGGGGGAAGCUGGUCUUAAGCGUCCUAACCACACACAAAAAAUUUGCACAAAAUUACAAGUAUUCUACAACAAAAAUAUGAUAUUAGAUCAAUGCAAACCAGUGGUAUGGCAAUGGAAGAUGAGUAUUGCAGGAAAACUGACCAGGAAUGUUAGGUAUCAAUGCAUAGGGCAAUGGAGGCCGAGGUCUCCCAAGGGAAGCAAGAUUACAGUUUGCACGUCUACCGUCUAUAAUGGGAGUUGGGUCAACACAAGCUCUCCUCGCAGCUUCUGGAUCUCGGAAAGUCACCUAUAAAUCCUCCAUAUGAAAUAGAAACAGAGCACUGAAUCAUUCACAAAACAACUGCAACAGAAUUACACCAAAAUUAAUCACUUUCUUUGUUCUGUGAUUAUAAUGCACACGAUCCAUAGAGUUAUACGCCAGUACCUAUAAAUCUAAUGGCACUGAUCUACAAAAAAAUGCGUAAUUAUAAUUGUAACUAACUCUAAAGCAACAUUUAGCAUCUCCAUGAGUAAUUCCAGAGCAACAAAAACAAACUUAGCGUCUUUUACAAACAAAGAAAGAAGGGAGAAACAGAGGACUCACAAAGCCAUAUCCUUUGGAUCGGCCAGUGUUCUUAUCAGCAAUGACAACAGCUUCAAGGAUUUCACCGUACUGUUCGAAAUGGCGACGAAGGGUUUCACUUUGAGUCUCCCAAGCAAGUCCACCGACGAAUACCUUAGUGAAAGUUGUAUCACCGAAAGGAGAAUUUAAGUAGUGAAACCCAGAACCCGGAACAGACUGGUACGCCAUGACUACAGAGGAGUGGCAAAAAUGGAAACUUUAUGCCAAAGCAAAAGAGGGAUGAUAAAUUAUGAACAAGGGAUCAAAGGAUCAAUUCUUAAUUUUGAUGAUAAAGGUAACCGAGUAAACCCUAGACAUAAUUGCAAUGAUUAAGCCCAGAGAUGAAACCCAUUGAAUAAGAAGAGGAGUAUCUAGGGUUUACUCGGUUCUGUGAAGAUGAAGUGAGAAAAAGUGAGAUUUGGGGGAAAACAAAAAACCUAAAAGAUCAUUCCCUACUAAUAAUGACGAAAGGGAGAAAAAAGAAAUCAAAUUUCCCGGAAAAAAAGAAAAGCAAAAGCAGUGUGGGUUUCAGGAUGGGCCAGACAGAGAGAGAAGAAGAAGAAGAAGUCGGUGGGUGUGUGAAAUUAGGGUUUCUUAGUGAAAAGGAUCACAAGAAACUGUAAAGAAAAACGAAGCUACAGGGUUGAGAACUUGAAACUAAUACUAAGAGUUUAAAAUUCUGAAAACAAAGGAGAAGAAAAAAAAAACCUAAGAAAAUAAUAAAGUAAGGAAGAAAGAAGGAUCGAUUUUUUAGGGUAAAAGUGGUUUGGUUAGGGGAAUUCCAUUGAUGGUGAUGAUGAAGAAGUUGGUGAUGACGAUGAAGAUGAUGAUGAUGGUGCGUGAUUUGUUGAAGGUGAAGAGAGAGAGAGAAAGAGAGAUACUUUUUGAUUUUCGACAUUGUAAAUAACGUAGGACCCCAUAUAUAUUUAUACUCUUAAUUUUGUAAUUAACGUCGUUAUCAUCGAUCCCCUAUGUCUUUUGUUUUGUCUGAUCGAAUCUAUCCGUUGUUGUAAUAACGUUACACAAAAAAUGUAAAAACUCAAGCCGAACUUUGUUUAUUAUUAUUACAAUAUUCCUAGAAUUGUAAUUACGGUGUAGAUCCUCGGAAAACCCCAAAUAAAUGGCUAGGGGUUCAUGAGCCUCGUGACUCAUUUAACCCCCCACUAGCCCACCACAAUGUGGUCCAAUGUCAACGAUUCUAUGGAACCCGGAACUAUGUCACGAGCUCAUGAUUCCUGUACAGUCUAUCUUACUAGACUACAAAACAAAACUAAAUAACAACACAAAUAUAUAUUUUUUAAAAACAUUUAUACUAGAAUACAAAGCUGUAACGACAUACAACUAAACUGGUUUUUAUUUUGCCGCGGACACUUCCGUCUAGUGGAUGGGAUUAAAAUCCAACAGAAAUAGUUUUUGUUUUUCAGAUAAGGAAACCGUUAGUAUAUGAAAUGUUCCAUCAAAUUAUUAUUCAUGUAAGUGAAAGUAGUAAAAGAUCUGACUUUUCCAAAAGAAGAACACCAUUACCAUGAAAAUGAUUGUACCAAAACCAUUUCAUGGAAUCACUUUAUUUCUAGGAGUAAUAAUAAAAGAGUGAAGAAACGACACUGUGACUCUUUGAAGUAAGCUUUUAUGGCUUUGGCAGAUCACCAGCUUCUUCAAAGCUCACCACUGAGUCCUCAAUGGUUUCUUCUAAUGCCCUAAACUUCCAUCCUAAAUUCUGCAACUUCUCUGAGCUUAGAAGCCUUACUUCCUUCACCUCCUUCUCUGUUCUCUCCGUGAAACUGUCAUUAUACAUUUUCAUCAGAUCAGACCAAAAUCGAAACAGCUAUGAAAGCAACCGUUUGGUUCUGCUAUUUACCUUUCAGGGAAGUUUCGUUUGGGAUACAUAUUCUUGAGCUUCUCCAUGAGAGAAUCGGUGUAGAGUGAAUGAGAAUUGCAUAUGUAUCUUUCUUUUGCUUUUGGAUUUUCAUACACCAACAAAAGCGCAUCCGCAACAUCACGCACAUCCACAAGAUACAGUUGAUCGCUCAACAAGGAUUUUAUACCUCCUGAGACACACAUGCACCAACCAACAUACUUUUCAAUAAUGAAGCAAACACUUUACCAAGAAAUGUACUUCUUAGGCCUCCAGGGGAAUGAGAUAAACACAUGACAUUACCUUUUAUAAAUCUGAGAAGCCCCAAACUACUAGAGUUAAGCCUUGACUGAAGUCUAGGGCCUAUAGUGACAGACGGACACAGUGUAACAACAUCAGCUAAGUUUCUCUUGCUCCACUCUAGAGCUUCACGUUCCGUUAACGUUUUGGCAAGAUAGUAAUAAGGCCAGUAACCCUGAGAUCCUCAGAUUUUGCAUCACAGAAAUAAAACACAAAUCUCUUACUGUUUUUUUUUUUUGUACAUACACUAAAUAUAAAAUAGAGUUUAAUCUGACACACAUGCUAGCUUCAAAGAAACAGUAUUACCUCAAGUGAGUAGAGGUAUUGAAUAUCUGACCAACAACCCUCGUCCUUAGCAGCAUCUUGAGGCCAUCUUGGGUUGUAAACAACUGCAGCAAUUGAUGAUACAAGCACAACUUUCUUCACUUUAGCUUCAGUACAUGCUUCUAGAACAUUAUUGGUGCCACUGAGAGCUGGUUUAAUCACUUCUUCCUGGAUUUUUUUAAGAAUUAAAGGUGAUUCUGUUUUUUAUAGUAGUGAUUCAACAAAGACACAAAAGAAGAAGCAGUGUUUGUUGAGUACUUGCCUCUGUGAGAGGAAUUCCUUCAAAAGGCACAGGGGAAGCGAUAUGGAAAACGCCAGAGCAACCAGCAAUGGCUAAAGAAAGACCUUCGUAAUCAAACAAAUCUGCUUUGAAAAGUUUCAGAUUCUUUGGAGCAUUAUCCAACUUCUUCAAAUGAUCAUUCUUUUCAUCACCUGAGAACAAUGUAUAUCAAUGCAAUAAUGCAUGCAACUUUCUCAAAUUCAAGAAACAGAGGAUACUCAAAACUUCACUGAGUAACAAAGAGAUUAUAGGAUUUGUCCUUUCUUUCUCACUCACAAGGAUCUCGAACGGUUCCAUGGACAGUGUAGCCACGAGAGAGAAGAAACUUGAUGAGCCAUGAAGCAAUAAACCCUCCUGCGCCAGUAACACAAACCUUUUGCUUUUCAGCCAUUGUGGCCGUCGUUCUCUUUAGCAACUUAAUUCGGUCUUUGGAGUGAACGAAAGAGAAAACAGAUCUCAAAGUAUUUAAACACAAGUCACAUUUGAUUUUAACUACUCAUCUUUUACUUAUGUAGCGUAUUAUUUUGAGGGAAUUAAGCUGGAUAAAGAUUGCAAGUUCGGAUUCAACGGGCAUUGAAAUAUGGGAAAAUUUGAUGUUUAGUACGUUUUGAAAACAUAAUAUGCUAUUUAGUACAAAAACUAUUUAAAAUUUGAGAAAUAGGUGUUUGUGAGAUAGAGAAUGGUAGAGAUAAGAAGGGAUGUAGGGUAAGAGAGAGUUUGGAAAAAGACAAAAAUGGGCUUACAUCAAUCGUUGAGACUUGAGAAGUUGAGAAUGGGUGUGUGUGUCACUGUGUGUGAAAAUGUGGGGAGAGAGUUUUUUUUUUAAUUAUUUUUUUUCUUUUUAUUAUACCCUCUCAUUCUAAUAAUUAAAAUACUUGUCAAUACAAUUUUUCUUUUCUCAUAUUUUUCACAUACAAAAAAUCUAUAUUUUUUUCUCUAUAAUUUGAUAUGCAUUUUGUUUAAUAAUUUUAAACUUUGAAUAAUAUUCUAUAUAUACACAAUUGUAUUUGUACAUAUAUGUUUGUGUACAGCUGUUAUACAAACAUUUUUCUGUACAUAUAGUUAUAUAGUUAUAUGUACAAUCUGAUUUAUGUAUGUACAAUUGUAUUUGUAUAUAUAUCCCAUUAUAGAAAUAUGAAUACAGUUGUUUAUUAUCUGUACACUACAUAUGUACACUUAGUAGGUUGUACGGAUUAUUGUACACUUAGUAGGUUGUACGGAUUACUUAUGUACAUUACAUUUGUACACUUUGUAAGUUGUACAGAUCUAAAAAUUAUUGAAAUCAUUUGUCAUUAUCAAAUAAAAUCAUCAAACAAAAUGCAUAUCAUACAUUAUUCUGUACGGUUGUACGUCUCUGUACAAAUAUUUUAACUGUAAAAUAGUUUAUAUUUCUAUAAUUAUAUAUGUACAUAUAUUUUUUUGUACAUAUAUACAUAUUUUAUUCGUAUAACUUAUAUAAUAUAAAGUAAAUAUGAGUGUAGAAAUUAAAAUUGUGUAUAUGUAUAUGUAUCCGUACACUAUAGUAAACGUACAGAUCAUAUUAUGUAACUAUUGCUAUGCAAAUAAUUAAAAAUUUAAUUGUAUUAUAACAUUAAUGGCAUACUUGUAAUUAUAACAUUUAAUUAAGGGUUUGAGAGUCACUUAAAUAGUGUCUAAUAGUAAUCAUUGUCUGUUUCUCUAAUUAUAAAUAGUCUUUGUACUAUUUUGCCAAUUACUUUCUCAAAAUGUACUAAAACUCAAAUUAUUCCUUGAAAUAUUAUAUGAAUUUUUGUAACGAAUGAAAUUAUUUAAAAAAAAAAAUAAUAAUUUCAUAAGAUUUGUUUCUUUAAGUUUUUAGUUGUUAUUAUUAUUAACUCAUAUAUCUUAAAAUUUAAGUUUUUGAAGAGUGAAAAAACAUCUUUACAAGUGACUUAUACUUCAGCCUAACUUGAUCUUUCAGAAAAAAUAUAAAGUCUAUAGUCAAGAAAUAUAUAAAGGACGACCAAACAAACUUGAAUCUAUCAUAUGCAUAUGCACAUGUAGUCUGAGUCAGCCUACUUUGAUUUUUCUCUCACACGCACGCAAUUGGGCAAAGAAAAGUCUCAAGUGGUAAAGAAACAAAAGAAGAAAAGACAAUUUUGGAUUGUGCAAAAACAGUUUCCAAGUAAUUGGAGUAAAUGAACAAACAACCAGAAUUGACUAAGUGAAUCCAAAAGAAAGAUUUAGAUACUUUGAAGAACGUGAAGAACGUGCACCUUGAUUCUGAGAAGACGGUAGAAACCAAGGGGACUAUGAACGGUACCACAAGACACAAAGCUACUUAUAUAACCAUGAACCAGCUUGAAAAAGGUAUGCUCAUGAGUUGUUCUUCUCAAACUGUUAUUGACUGACUUAUUGUUACCAAAAUGUUGAAGACUUAGAAGUAGGCACAAAGAUGCAAAAGAAGGAUUUAUAAUGUAAGAGUUUGCCUACAUUGUAAGUGAUGAGAGAUCUUUCUUUGGAGUUUGAUAUUACCACAAUCCCCUCAGGCUCUACAACCCAGCCUAAAACAGAGUAAAGCUCAGGGACACGUUCUUUCUUUCCAAUUCAUACCAAGAAUUCGACUAAAGUCCUUGUAACUUGUAAGCUUGAGAACCCAACUGCAAUGGCAGAGUCUGCAUAUACUAUACAACUCGUUCUCAACUAGCUUUUGGGGAGACAAAAAAUCACAACUGAAGAAGAUGGAGAAGUUUCAAGAACACUAACAUGUUGGCCUACUAACAUGUUCUUCUGGCCGAGACUUAGCAACAAGUCAAAGAAUCUGUUGUGAACCCUUACAAGUGGAUCUCGAGUAACUUGACUUGUCCUUUAAUUGUAUUCAGAUUGUUAUUUAAUUUUGGCAUAACAUCAAAAGCUUAGCUAAAAGCAAGGAAUCUGUUGUGAAACCUUACAAGUGGAUCUCGAGUAACUUGACUUGUCCUUUAAUUAUAUAUCCAAGUGGACUUAGAGCAGUAAACCACAUGAUCUGACAUAAGAUAAGUUAAAGGAGCAGAGAUAGGGAGAGAGUGAGAGAGAGAGAGCUCGUACCCAUACGCAGGUCAUGCUGCCUUCAAAUCACGAAUCUUGAAAGAAGAAUAGACUCCGAUAAGGGAUGAGAAAACGACGACGUUUUAGAUUAACGCCAAUUAUUGCUGAGACCGGCGUUUUAGGUGAACGCCAAUAAUUGCUUAGACCUAGACACCUAGUCCCCUAAACAAGCAAAUAUCCAAAUAUAGACCCCAACAUAUCAUCAAGCUUAUCGACACAUAGCUAUGGUUUAGCCUAAUUUGCUUACUUGUAAAUUCUCUUUUUAAAACAAGUCUCUACAACGCUUUUUUUUUGUUUGUUUGUUUAAUAAAAAUUGUGCGUUUGUGCGAAAGAAUAUGAAAAUAUAAAAAACGAAAAGUGUUUGUUUACUAUUGGAGGAAGAGAGCAGAGAUCAAGGGAUGUUUACUACUAGUAUUUAAUAGUUAACGGAGGUAGGUUUAAUUUGUCUGCUUGCUUCGAGCAAGAUCUCGAGAGAUCAUGAACGUGACAAUGUGACUUCCACUGCUUCAGGACAAUUUUUAUUAUAAACCAAUUUUUUCUUCUUUUUACUACUAUCUCGCUUGCUAAGCAACUAUCAUUUUGUAUAGUUUAUUUAAAAAAAAACAUUUCGUGAUAAUAUUUUCUACUGGUAUAAACUUUUAUAACUUCUUCACACGUUUAGUUAACAUUAUACAAUUUUUUUUUUUUCCAUUUUUUAUAGUUGACAAAAGAAAGUUGUUUAACAUAGACAGUUUUCUCUUGAAAAGCAUGUUUUCUUUUUAAAAUAUAUAUAUAUAACUCAUUUUGUAUUUUAUAACGUGAGUUUUUGUAUUAUUUGUUGUCAAGGCUAGGCUUCGACUACCAUAUUUCCUAUUUUUUAAUAUGUAUUUUAUAACGUGAGUUUUGUCUUGAUUAGCAUAUUUUUAUUGUAUAACGUGAAACUCGUUUAUAAGAACUCAUAUGUAUUUGUAUUAUAUGAACCAAAUCAAAUUAUCUUAUAUUAAAAUAAGGUUGCUUAUAAGGGAUUCAAUGUUUCUUUCGUCAAAAAGGUCUACUCUUGUAGAUUUUAUUCUAUUAUAAUUUGGAUUUGGGAUUUCCACGCUAAAUGAUUGUUGUUUUUGAUAGCAAUGUGUAAACUGUUAGUUCUUAAAUAGAAAAUUUGGGGAUGAUCUUACUACUGUUCGUAAAUAGUUAAGGCUAGGGUUCGACAAUGUUAAGAGGGUCCGGUGGACUGGUUUUAUCGACCGGAUUGGUUCACUUUUUGAUCUAAUCGGCUUUGUGACUGUAGUUGGCGAGUGGUUUAUGUUAAUUUAAGCUUUAUAAAACAAACCUCAACUUUGUAUACUAAAUAUUUUAGUUUUAUCUUAUUGUAAGGUUUUCCGUAAACGUUAAAAUUAAAUACCCUUCUGCUGCUUUCUUUCUUUCUUUUUUGGGUUUAAAUCAUUAAACUUCUCUACACUCAUCAUAAUGUAUGGACAUGAAUCAAGUAUCAUCACUUACGACCACUGGUCUUUUGCUGAAUUAUGAAUUUUCGGACAUGAAAAUUAAAAGAAUAAUGUUAUUGUAUAAGAUAAUUUAAAUUAUUCUUUUUUUGAAUUUUAUUGAUUUUUAAUUUACGAAACAAAGUUGUCGUUAACCUAGCCGGUUUGUCUUGAUUUGCAUUUUUUUAUAAUAAUACAAGAAGAACUUAUUUGGGUUAAUUAUAUAUGAACCAAAAUCAUAUAUCAUAUUAUAUUAAAGGUUGCCUAUUAGGAAUUCAAAGUUUCGUUCGUGAAAAAAGUCUACUCUUGUAGAUUUGAUCCUCUAAUAAUUGGGAUUUCCACGUUAAAUUUCAUUUUCUUUGAAGAUUUUGUAUAUCAAUUGAACCAAAUGAUUGUUGUCUGAUAGCAAUGCAUAAACUGUUAGUGCUAAAAUUUUUUUCUAUCUGGAAUGAUCUUACUACUGUUGGUUAAAUAGUUAAGGCUAGGGUUCGACUCUGUUAUAAAAAUUUGGUGGACUGGUUUUAUCGGUUGUAUUGUUUCACUUUUUGAUGAUUUCGGAUUCGUGAGUGUUAGCGAGUGGUUUAUGUUGACUUUACUCAUUCAAAAACAAAGUGAAGUUUGUAUCCUAAUCAUUUUAGAUUAACACUGUUGAUGUUUUAUCACAUAGUUAAAGGAUAGCAUAUACCCGUAUUCCCCUAAACGUUAAUUAUAAUAUUACUCCUCUACUUAAUUAAUUUUUUGUUUGUUUAAACUUUAAAGUUAUUAAACUUCUCUACGCUCAUCACAAGCGUAUAUUAUAUAAUUAUAUGGACAUGAAUAAAGUUUAAUUAAGUCAUUAAACUUCUCUACGCUCAUCCUUACCCAUUGGUAUUUGAUGCCUAAUAAUUUUCAUACAUAAAUAUAUAUUAUACUAGUUGUUGAUCCGCGCUACGCGCGGGAGUUUUAUAAUUGUUUUUUUAUAUUUUAAAAUUUAUAUUUUGAUUUUUCUUUGUUUUUGUUUAUUUUUUUUGUUUUUACUCUUGUUUUUGUAUUAAUUUAGUAUAUAAAAUGUUUAUUCUUAUUUGUUUAACUUUGAUUUAUGUCAAAUAGUAGCUGUUAGAACCUUACAUUUUAAAAGCCUUCAAUUCUUGUAGGCCAAAUUAUUCUGGUGAAUCCACUUAUUUAUUUAUCCAAGUAUUUUCAUUUUACCUUUUAGUUUUUUUUUUCAUACUUCUUAUGCCUAAUAUCAGUUGUGUUCUCGUUUGAUGUGGCUUCAGAUGACAUCAAUUUAGUGGUAUAUCUAUAUGUAUAGUAUAAAUAUCCUUGUUUUGUAUUUUUUUUUGUAUUUAGCCCCAUUAAUCAAAAAAUUGAUCGUUACUUUAUAAAUAGAUACUUGUUUUAUUUAUUUUGGACAUAAAUGUUUUUAAUUAUAUUAUUUAUUUUCUUAAAACCACUAUUGAAUAUAAAAAUUAAAUAAAGACUAAGUUAUGAGGUAGAAAAGAAAUUAAAAACUAAAGUGUUGUAAUUCUAAAUCAAUGUAAAAAAUUUAGAUGAAUGAUGAUGUGGCAGCUGAUGUGGAAGAUGAUGUGGCAUAAGGAGAAAAGAGAAAAAGUUAACUUUAUAUAUAUAGAUACGUACACUAUAAUUUGACUCGUAUGUAAAGUAGAAUUAAUUAGGUGUCUCGAGCCAAAUUGUUGAUGGAAAUUAGACAAAUAUGAUCAUGACCUUACAAAACACAUAUCAAAUUAUCAAUACAGUUGGUAAUUAAGAGAGAGUAAUACAAAAAAGAUAUGAUAAUACCGUUUACGUUGAAUCGCUUUUGUUUUCACGCUUUGUUUGAUUGGUAAAUCAUUUCUAAAAAUACAUCCGUUAGUGAUACAAAUACAACAAAAGCAUAUACAAAAUUACCAAUAAAAUUAGCAAACACACAUACAAAGUUGAUAUCAUUCAUUACGUGAACCGAAGCAAAAAAGAGACGAUAUCAAUACAAAACUAAAACAACAACAACUAAAAAAUACUAAUAAUCAUGAUUUUGUAAAAUAAACAUUUGUCUAGGUCGAGAAAGUUGUUUCUUUUUUUUUUUAUGUUUUAAUCAUAGACGAUAAUGUAAGACAGGUUGGCUUUGGCUCAGUGCACAGCAUAUCAAUUAAUUGAAGUACACAAUACACAAAUUAUAUGUAACCAGUGCUACGUUUUGUUCUUCUUCAUCAUCAUCAUCAUUCAAUUUCUAGUAUGACAACUAAUUUCAUUUGAUGCUUCUAUAUCUUCCUCAUCAAAAAAUAAAAACGUGAAAAAAACCUAAAAUUAGAUGAAUUACGAAAAUUAGGCAAAAACCAAAAAAAAAAUAAAAGAAAAAAAGUGAGUCACGAAAGAAAAAGAAAAAAAAAAAAAAGAAGCGAGCUGGUCCCCAACAGACAUGUCCUAUAAAAGUUGUUAACCUCUCCUUCACACUUAUCACGCCACCUCACCCCCUCACCUCUCUCCUCCCUCUUCUCUCUCUCCCCCCGCCUGGAGAGAUGGAUCUUCGACGGAGGCCUCCUAAACCACCGGUUAACUCCAAUCCCAACGGUUCUUCUUACCCUUCCUCUUAUCAACCCCGCUCUUCCGACGACGAUCACCGUCUCCGUACCGCAUCAAUUGCUCCUCCUCCCAAAGCCUCCGAUGCGCUUCCCCUUCCUCUCUAUCUCACCAACGCCGUCUUCUUCACGCUCUUCUUCUCCGUCGCUUAUUAUCUCCUCCACCGGUGGCGUGACAAGAUCCGUUACAACACGCCUCUCCACGUCGUCACUAUCACCGAGCUCGGUGCCAUUAUUGCUCUCAUCGCUUCUUUCAUCUAUCUCUUAGGGUUUUUCGGUAUUGACUUUGUUCAGUCCUUUAUCUCCCGCGCUUCUGGCGAUGCUUGGGAUCUCGCCGAUACCAUCGAUGAAGACGACCACCGCCUCGUCACCUGCUCUCCGCCGACUCCGAUCGUUUCCGUCACCAAAUUGCCUAUUCCGGAACCUAUUGUUACCGAAGCGCUUCCUGAGGAAGACGAGGAGGUUGUGAAAUCUGUUCUCGACGGUGUGAUCCCGUCUUACUCGCUCGAAUCUCGUCUCGGAGAUUGCAAAAGAGCUGCGUCGAUUAGGCGUGAGGCGUUACAGAGAGUCACCGGGAGAUCUUUGGAAGGAUUACCGUUGGAUGGAUUUGAUUAUGAAUCGAUAUUGGGGCAAUGCUGUGAGAUGCCUGUUGGAUAUAUUCAGAUUCCUGUGGGGAUUGCUGGACCUUUGUUGCUUGAUGGUUUUGAGUACUCUGUUCCUAUGGCUACCACCGAAGGAUGUUUGGUUGCUAGCACUAACAGAGGCUGCAAGGCUAUGUAUAUCUCUGGCGGAGCCACCAGUACGGUUCUUAAGGAUGGGAUGACUCGAGCGCCCGUGGUUCGGUUCGCUUCCGCCAGACGAGCUUCGGAGCUUAAGUUUUUCUUGGAGAAUCCUGAGAACUUCGACACUUUGGCCGUUGUAUUCAACAGGUCCAUCUUUUUGAACCGAGAUUUUCCCGUUUGAUUUGAUUUUGUUGACUUUUUAAUGCGUUUGAUGUCGUCUGGUGGGUAUAAAUUUAAAAGUGAUGGGACUUGUUCAAACCUUCUGUAGAGACUAGGCUUGAUAGGAAAGCUUUCACAUCAAAUUUGGGCUGUAAAAUUGCAUCGAUACUAUUUGUUGACUGAUUUGAUUUGAGAUUGAAAUUUUUGUAACGGGAUUUACUGACGAAUUAGUGUUUUUUUUUGUGGAUGCAGAUCGAGUAGAUUUGCAAGAUUGCAAAAUGUUAAAUGCACGAUCGCGGGGAAGAAUGCAUAUGUAAGGUUCAGUUGUAGCACUGGUGAUGCCAUGGGGAUGAAUAUGGUUUCCAAAGGUGUGCAGAAUGUUCUGGAAUACCUUACCGAUGAUUUUCCUGACAUGGAUGUCAUUGGAAUCUCUGGUGAGUUUCUUCUUUGUGUGAUUGAUCCUUAUAUCAUCUUGAUUCUGUUUGAAACUCUUCUUGUUCUAUUUGAUGCUAUCUCGUAAAAUUCUGGUUUGCUGUUUAAUCUGAUUCUUGUCUUUUGGAUUUUAUCUUAAUUCUUCAGGUAACUACUGUUCGGACAAGAAACCUGCUGCUGUUAACUGGAUUGAGGGACGUGGCAAAUCAGUUGUUUGUGAGGCAGUAAUCAGAGGAGAGAUCGUGAACAAGGUGUUAAAAACAAGUGUGGCUGCCUUGGUCGAGCUCAAUAUGCUCAAGAACUUAGCUGGCUCUGCUGUUGCAGGCUCUCUAGGGGGAUUCAACGCUCACGCCAGCAACAUAGUUUCUGCUGUAUUCAUAGCCACCGGCCAGGAUCCAGCUCAAAACGUGGAGAGCUCUCAAUGCAUCACCAUGAUGGAAGCUAUCAACGACGGCAAAGAUAUCCAUAUCUCAGUCACUAUGCCAUCUAUCGAGGUAGUUAUUGAUCAGAUUCUCUGUCUCUGAGCUCACUUAGAAAGUAUCUUGAAUUCCAAGAGAUUUGAUAAUUGUGUUUUGGAAAAUCAGGUGGGGACAGUGGGAGGAGGAACACAGCUAGCGUCUCAAUCAGCGUGUCUAAACCUGCUGGGAGUGAAAGGAGCGAGCAAAGAGUCGCCGGGGAUGAACGCAAGGAGGCUAGCAACAAUAGUGGCCGGAGCAGUACUAGCAGGAGAGUUAUCUCUAAUGUCAGCAAUUGCAGCUGGACAGCUAGUGAGGAGUCACAUGAAAUACAACAGAUCCAGCCGAGACAUAUCCGGAGGAGCAACGACAACAACAACAGCAACAUGAUGAUAUCAGUAUCUCCUCUGGGCGCAAAAACUCAAAAAGAAAGACAACAAUCCAAAACAAGGCAGGCUUUUUACAACUCAUUUCACUCAGAACUCGCUGGUGGACAAGAUUCAAGCCAUGUGCGUGUGCGUGCACCCCCUCCCCUUUUGUUAAAUAAAAAAAGAAAAGAAAAGAAAAGAAAAAAACUAUUUGUUUUGUUUGUUUGACUUUGAAAUCGUUCUCUCUCUUUUUUGGAUUGAGGAGGAGCAAGAAUGAGAGAUUUUCACACUUUUCUCUCGCUCUCACUGCCUCCUCUUUCUCUCGCUCUCACUGCCUCCUCUUUCUCUCUUUUCUCUCAUGGAUAAUUCGUGUCUCUUUGAUUUGUCUUUGUUUGUUAGGAAGUGGUCUAUAUGAACAAAAAUUGUGUAUGAAGAAGUUACGUUUGGGAACAUUUUGAGAUUUUUCUCUGUUUUGUUUCCUAUCAUUUUUAAAAUUUAUAUACGUUAUAAAAUUUCCCUUUGUGUUGGGGACAUCUCUCUCUCUCUCACACUUUGUCUUGUUGUUCUUGUUGGUAAAGAAGGGAAGAUACGGAUCUUCGUUUCUCCAAAAAGACUAAGACUCCUCCACCUCAUAUAAUACUUUACCAUCUUUGGGUCUACACCUGAGAUUUCCUGACAAAAGAAUUGUUCCAACUUUCACUAUUUUAAGUGAUAAAAGAGAGAGAGAGAGUAAAGAAGAUUCUCUCUUAUUCACUAGGUCAAUUUUGAUCAAUAGCUUCCUCCUGGGGACUUUACAUGUUUGCAUGAUUGGGUCAUUCAGAUUACUGAAUUAUAAGGUCUUCAAUUUGAACAAAAAUAAAUAUAUGCUAGCCAAUAACCAUCUCACAUCCAAAAUGAAAUAUAUACUUCAAACCAACACUUACAUAUAAGAGAGAUAGAACGAUUCACAACCCUAAAGAAAAGUUCUCUCUUACAUGUACGUGUGUAGAUGUCCGACGAUGUUGUAUCACCAUCCCAAAUUCCAGUAUUUUGUAAUGUAUCUUUUGGUAUUUAACACUAAACUUGAUGUAAUAGACAUUCGAACGGUUUAUAGUAACAGUAGGUUGAAAACGUUCUAUCAUCCGAGAUUCAGCAGAGUUGACGACACUGAACCCAAUUGUUGUUAUUGAGCCACUCUUAGUUACAGUGAUUUCAAGUAUAUGGGCUUACAAAGUCGUUAAACUUUGUCCUAUCCGUUUAGGCCCAAAUCCUAGAGCAUAAACCACAAAAGUUCAUAAUGGUUGUCAGGUAGACAGACAUGUUGGCCUUAUCUUCUCCAGCCAUUUUGGAAAUCUGCGACUAUGUAUUGUUCUUCUCUAUGUGGAUAAUUAAGUUCAUAAAUGUCAUCCAUUUUUAUUCAAUAACCGGAUGAUUCUGACCGAUACACAUACAGUAUCAACUUCAGAAUUUAUAGUAGAUAGAGUCGAGUAUUAUUCACCAUUUAAUGUAUGCAUGCAUUGAAUUAUAGCUACAUGCAUAUAUAUAUAUAUAUAUAUAUAUAUAUAUAUGACUGAAAAUAUUUAAAACUCUACUCUUUUCAACUUACAUAACGAAUUGGUUCACUUUUUAUUUUCUGUAAACAGGUCAAAUUUUUGUGAUCAUUGGCAUUCUUUGAGGAGGCUGCUUAAUUAUAUUCUUUACAAAAAUGCGUUUUAAUCGAAUAUUCUCAACUAUAUAUCCAGUUGUUAAUUACUAACUUCAUUGUUCCUGAUGGUUGUUCAAAUCAGAGUGGCUAAUACUAAAAAAAAAAAAAAAAAAGAUAAGCCCAUAAGACAGACAUUUGGAAAAGGCACUAAAAUUGGAAUGGACUUUAGUUUUGGGUUUUGUCAUAUUUUUCGGCAUUAAAGCUAAUAAAAUAAUAAUGAAAUGAAAAAGUUGUUAGCAAAAAAAAAAAUAAUAAUAAUGAAAAAGACAUGAUAAUUGGUGGAUGGGGUUACUAGGUUUAGUGGGCAAGCUGAGAAAAAACAAAUCGUUAAAUUAAAAAUGUUGUCCCGCCCGUAAUCACCGGGGUUGAUUUUACUAACUUCUUUUGUCAAACUUAUAUAAUAUGAUCAAUGAUUAUGAUCCUCAUCUUCGUUUGUCAACAAUUUAAAAUGAUUUGUGAUAAGUUAACUUAAUACAUGAUUAAUUAUUCGUGCUCCACAUGAUUGUUUAUUUCCAAGUAUAUACCGUAUCAAAAACAUUUACUAUUGCAUAUAUAUUACAUACUUUUUUUGUUGUUGGUGAAUGCUUGUAGUAUAUUAAGUUGCUGGCUUGUGCUAAGUUAUGAUAGUCAUAUUAUAUACAGGGGCGGACACAGCCAAAAAUAUUAGUGGGUGCAAAGUGACAGUUAUAGGAUUCGAACUCACCAUCUCCCAUGUAUUAUGGGUGUAACAUAACCAUUUUGCUACAAUAACCAUUAUGAACAUAAUAAAUUUUUUAACAUUUUAUAAGUCACUGGUGGCAGCUGCUACCACCACCUAUAACAACGUAGGUCCGCCCCUAAUUAUAUAUAUAUAUAGUCUCAUGGACUCCAAGUUUUAAAUUCAUCCCCCAAUUGGUAGGAACUUCUUGUAAUAAGAUAAGAUAAAACAAUACAUGGACGCCGAUCGAGAUGAUCUCAGUGCAAAAAAUAACUAGAGAAUUAAUUUUUCACUAGUUCUAUCUUUUCCCCUUAUUAGAAUCUGCUUUUUUGCAUGAUCUCCUAUCUUUUAACUUUCAAAAACUUUAUGAUCUCAACAUCAUAUCUUUGUAUGUAUUUCCUUUUAUGCAUUUUAAUUGAAAGCUUUUUAACAAAAAAAAAAUACAUGGACGCCGAUCGAGAUGAUCUCAGUGCAAAAAUUUAGUCAAUCGCUAUACGCCACGUGGAAUAUACGGAUGGAAACGAAUUAAAUUUGGUAUGGGUGUUAACUCCUGGUACUUUACUAAUCACUUACUAUACUAACACAGUGCAAUGCAUUAUACAGCUUGAGGUCCAAUCCAUAUAAAUAUUCGGUCCAUUCAAAGGUCACAUGGUUUGGUUUCAAUUAUAAAUGGAUCUUUUGUCACAUUGUUGUAGUCGAUGAUCAUGUACAUCAUGAUUGUUCUCUAGUUAUGGUCUCGACGAGUUGAUCGAUUCUUAACUAUCAGAUCAUUUUUACUAGAAACAAAUUUUUAGUAUUAUAAUAGAACUUGAUGAUAUAUAUAUAUAUAUAUAAUGUCGUGCGCAUCAUGUUAUAAACAUAUAGUAGUCAAUCAUUCUCAAGUUUUUUUUUUUUUUAAUAUAUAUAUAUUUGAUCAAUCUUACCGAUACAAAAGCCAUGACCGAAGUCACACAGUUUUAAGCGCUAAACAUAAUAUAGCAAUAAGUCAAUAUUACAAGUAGAAUAAACGUGGCAACCGAAUCUUCCGCUUCAGUUAACUUCUUAAAACAGCUAAAGGACCACUAGCCACGAUUACCACGGCCACGAUUACCACGACCACGGUUUCCACGGCCACGGUUUCCACGGCCACGGUUACCUCUUCCUCGAGCAUUAGAGGACUCCUGCACCUCUUUUGCUUUGAUGGAAAGCUGAACCGGUCUUUCCCGCAGCAAUCUUUGCCCGGAGGGAGUCAAAUGACUCAUCAUUUCCGAACCACUAUCUGACCUGUCUGAAUCAUCUGAAUCUCCAUCAGAAGGAAGUGAAUCCCCAUUCUCAAGUUUAUGAUUAAACAAAACUGGAUUCCACAACAAAAACGAAAAAAUACUUGAAUCUUGAUCAAGCUUAAGGGCUAAAGUUUCUUUUUUUUUUUCUUUUUUUUUUUUGUCGUUAUUUUUUUCUUCCUUUUUUCUCGAAUCUAUCUUACAAUAUUAGAAGGAAAAACAACGUAACUCGAGGUAUUUAAGACCAAUGUGUGUGUAACUGGGAAGCUAGAUUGGGGGAAACAAACACGUGGACCAAGUACCGAUGCUUCCGACCGCCUCCACGUGGUACAACAGCUCAGCUUCUGCUCUGACAUUUUUGACCGCACGUGACUUUUGCUCCGUGCACGUGUGGAUCAAGCUUCAAGCAGACUGUGCGAUUGCAUCGCCGCGUCAUGAGUCGUCCGAUUGCGCCGGUCAUGUAUGAUCUCAACGGCUCUGAUCGAGACUACUUUGGUUGCGUGAGGCACAUGCAUCCACGUUAGCGAGACUGCUUCAAAUGUGCUAAACUGCUAAUAUCAAAAUACUGAUCACACACUCCCAAGAUCCACGUUUCAUUUCUCCGACAAGUAGAUAGACACAACAAAGAAAUAGCUAAUUACCUCAAUGAGUUUUCCAAAUAUGCAUCAUUGGUCCACUAUAUAUAUAAUCUUUCCAUUCUAACGUAAGUUUAGAAAUUUUCC